rnacentral:rRNA from 1 species
AGUGAACGCUGGCGGUAGGCCUAACACAUGCAAGUCGAACGGCAGCACAGUAAGAGCUUGCUCUUACGGGUGGCGAGUGGCGGACGGGUGAGGAAUACAUCGGAAUCUACUUUUUCGUGGGGGAUAACGUAGGGAAACUUACGCUAAUACCGCAUACGACCUACGGGUGAAAGCAGGGGAUCUUCGGACCUUGCGCGAUUGAAUGAGCCGAUGUCGGAUUAGCUAGUUGGCGGGGUAAAGGCCCACCAAGGCGACGAUCCGUAGCUGGUCUGAGAGGAUGAUCGGCCACACUGGAACUGAGACACGGUCCAGACUACUACGGGAGGCAGCAGACGGGAAUAUUGGACAAUGGGCGCAAGCCUGAUCCAGCCAUACCGCGUGGGUGAAGAAGGCGUUCGGGUUGUAAAGCCCUUUUGUUGGGAAAGAAAAGCAGCAGGUUAAUACCCCGCUGUUCUGACGGUACCCAAAGAAUAAGCACCGGCUAACUUCGUG